UUUCCGCAGGUGAACCUGCGGAAGGAUCAUUGUCGAAACCUGCCCAGCAGAACGACCCGCGAACUUGUAUAAACAACCGGGGGCGGGGGGCGUUCUCGCCCCGUGCCCCCGAACGGCGGGGAGACACUCGUGCCUUCUUGCCGAACAACGAACCCCGGCGCGGUCUGCGCCAAGGAACUUCAACUAAAGAGUGCCUCCGGUCGCCUCGGAAACGGCGUGCGUGCCGGGGGCGAAUCUUGUGCAAAACCAUAACGACUCUCGGCAACGGAUAUCUCGGCUCUC
rnacentral:misc_RNA from 1 species